UAAGGAAUAUUGGUCAAUGGACGCAAGUCUGAACCAGCCAUGCCGCGUGGAGGAUGAAGGUCCUCUGGAUUGUAAACUUCUUUUAUUUGUGAAGAAACCCACGAUUUCUAUUGUGGUUGACGGUACCAGAUGAAUAAGCACCGGCUAACUCCGUGCCAGCAGCCGCGGUAAUACGGAGGGUGCAAGCGUUAUCCGGAUUCACUGGGUUUAAAGGGUGCGUAGGCGGGCAGGUAAGUCAGUGGUGAAAUCUCCGAGCUUAACUUGGAAACUGCCGUUGAUACUAUCUGUCUUGAAUGCUGUGGAGGUAAGCGGAAUAUGUCAUGUAGCGGUGAAAUGCUUAGAUAUGACAUAGAACACCUAUUGCGAAGGCAGCUUGCUACACAGAAAUUGACGAUGAGGCACGAAAGCGUGGGGAUCAAACA
rnacentral:rRNA from 1 species